rnacentral:tRNA from 1 species
GGUCUCGUAGCUCAGCUGAUAGAGCGUGCGUCUAUGCGUGGGUUCGAAUCCCGCCGGGGCUA